AUUGAACGCUGGCGGAAUGCUUUACACAUGCAAGUCGAACGGCAGCACGGGGCAACCUGGUGGCGAGUGGCGAACGGGUGAGUAAUAUAUCGGAACGUGCCCAAUCGUGGGGGAUAACGUAGCGAAAGUUACGCUAAUACCGCAUACGAUCUACGGAUGAAAGCGGGGGAUCGCAAGACCUCGCGCGAAUGGAGCGGCCGAUAUCAGAUUAGGUAGUUGGUGGGGUAAAGGCUCACCAAGCCAACGAUCUGUAGCUGGUCUGAGAGGACGACCAGCCACACUGGAACUGAGACACGGUCCAGACUCCUACGGGAGGCAGCAGGUGGGGAAUUUUGGACAAUAGGGCGGCGAAACGACCCGU
rnacentral:rRNA from 1 species